rnacentral:rRNA from 1 species
AUUGAACGCUGGCGGCAGGCUUAACACAUGCAAGUCGAGCGGGGAAAAGUAGCUUGCUACUGGACCUAGCGGCGGACGGGUGAGUAAUGCUUAGGAAUCUGCCUAUUAGUGGGGGACAACAUCUCGAAAGGGAUGCUAAUACCGCAUACGUCCUACGGGAGAAAGCAGGGGACCUUCGGGCCUUGCGCUAAUAGAUGAGCCUAAGUCGGAUUAGCUAGUUGGUGGGGUAAAGGCCUACCAAGGCGACGAUCUGUAGCGGGUCUGAGAGGAUGAUCCGCCACACUGGGACUGAAAGACGGCCCAGACUCCUACGGGAGGCAGCAGUGGGGAAUAUUGGACAAUGGGGGGAACCCUGAUCCAGCCAUGCCGCGUGUGUGAAGAAGGCCUUUUGGUUGUAAAGCACUUUAAGCGAGGAGGAGGCUACCGAGAUUAAUACUCUUGGAUAGUGGACGUUACUCGCAGAAUAAGCACCGGCUGACUCUGUGCCAGCCGCCGCAGUAACAC